GAUGAACGCUGGCGGCGUGCCUAAUACAUGCAAGUCGAGCGAACAGAUGAGGAGCUUGCUCCUCUGACGUUAGCGGCGGACGGGUGAGUAACACGUGGAUAACCUACCUAUAAGACUGGGAUAACUUCGGGAAACCGGAGCUAAUACCGGAUAAUAUAUUGAACCGCAUGGUUCAAUAGUGAAAGACGGUUUUGCUGUCACUUAUAGAUGGAUCCGCGCCGCAUUAGCUAGUUGGUAAGGUAACGGCUUACCAAGGCAACGAUGCGUAGCCGACCUGAGAGGGUGAUCGGCCACACUGGAACUGGGACCCGGUCCAGACUCCUACGGGAGGCAGCAGUAGGGAAUCUUCCGCAAUGGGCGAAAGCCUGACGGUGCAACGCCGCGUGAGUGAUGAAGGUCUUCGGAUCGUAAAACUCUGUUAUUAGGGAAGAACAAAUGUGUAAGUAACUAUGCACGUCUUGACGGUACCUAAUCAGAAAGCCACGGCUAACUACGUG
rnacentral:rRNA from 1 species